UUCAUCGUCCCCGAGCCGUCCCUGGCUUCCCAGACUGUCCAGGAAGGUAGCAGGGAAAAGCCCUAUCUCCCUCCAGAUAUAAAAUCCCUCUACUGCGUCCCUGCCAACAUGACCCAGCUCUUCCUGGAGUCUGGCCACAAGAAGGGGAGCACCCUCGAGGGCAGUGAGGUCCGAAGGAUCAUCACUGACUAUGCCAAGAGAAACAACCUGGUGGAUGCAGACAACAGGAAGUGAGUGGGGCAGAAUCAGGAUAGACUGUUUUGUUGGUCUUCAUUUUAAUUGGAUAUUUUAUUUAUUUACAUUUCAAAUGUUAUCCCCUUUCCUGGUUUCCCCUCCAGAAAGCCUCUGUUCCAUCCUCCCUCCCCCAGCCACCCACUCCCUCCUCCCUGCCCUGAGAUUCCCCUAUGCUGGGGCGUCGAGCCUUCAUAGGACAAAUGGCCUCUCCUCCCAUUGAUGUCCGACAAGGACAUCCUCUGUUACAUACGUGGCUGGAGCCAUGGGGCCCCUCCGUAUGUACUCAUUGGUUGGUGGUUUAGUCUCUGAGAGCUCUGGGGUGAGGGGGUGGGGUCUGGUUGGUUGAUACUGUUGUUCUUCCCAUGGGUCUUUGUUUUACAG
rnacentral:lncRNA from 1 species